rnacentral:rRNA from 1 species
CCUACGGGAGGCAGCAGUGAGGAAUAUUGGUCAAUGGGCGCGAGCCUGAACCAGCCAAGUCGCGUGAGGGAUGACGGUCCUACGGAUUGUAAACCUCUUUUGCCGGGGAGCAAGCGUGCGUUCGUGAACGCGCGUCGAGAGUACCCGGAGAAAAAGCAUCGGCUAACUCCGUGCCAGCAGCCGCGGUAAUACGGAGGAUGCGAGCGUUAUCCGGAUUUAUUGGGUUUAAAGGGUGCGUAGGCGGGGGCACAAGUCAGCGGUAAAAUCGCGGGGCUCAACCCCGCUCCGCCGUUGAAACUGUGUCCCUUGAGUGCGCGAAGGGUAGGCGGAAUGCGUGGUGUAGCGGUGAAAUGCAUAGAUAUCACGCAGAACUCCGAUCGCGAAGGCAGCCUACCGGCGCGCAACUGACGCUCAUGCACGAAAGCGUGGGUAUCGAACAGGAUUAGAUACCCUUGUAGUC